rfam:Oscillibacter sp. CAG:155 genomic scaffold, scf98
AUAUGUAAAGGGCAAACCGCCCGAAAGGGCGGGACGCAAAACCAGGGGGCUAACGCGUGCAGACGCCAUGCCAGCCCAGUCGCCAUA